rnacentral:tRNA from 1 species
GCCUGGGUGGCUCAGUUGGUUAAGCAUCUGACUUCGGCUCAGGUCAUGAUCUCACAGUCUGUGAGUUCGAGCCCCGUGUCAGGCU